UACGUAGGGUGCAAGCGUUGUCCGGAAUUAUUGGGCGUAAAGAGCUCGUAGGCGGUCUGUUACGUCGGCUGUGAAAACCUGGGGCUCAACUCCGGGCCUGCAGCCGAUACGGGCAGACUAGAGUUCGGCAGGGGAGACUGGAAUUCCCGGUGUAGAGGUGAAAUUCGUAGAUAUCGGGAGGAACACCAGUGGCGAAGGCGGCGACCUGGACGGAUACUGACGCUGAGGUGCGAAAGCGUGGGGAGCAAACAGG
rnacentral:rRNA from 1 species